UUUUCUGGACCACAAGACAUUAUAUUAUGAUGUGGAGCCCUUCCUGUUCUAUGUUAUGACAGAGGCGGACAACACUGGCUGUCACCUGAUUGGAUAUUUUUCUAAGGAAAAGAAUUCAUUCCUCAACUACAACGUCUCCUGUAUCCUUACUAUGCCUCAGUACAUGAGACAGGGCUAUGGCAAGAUGCUUAUUGAUUUCAGUAAGUGAAACUGCUAAGUCAUUAGUUCCACAAGGCAGGGACCAUGUGAAUAUUGUUUGUCUUUUUGUCCUGUGGUCUCUGCAAUUCCUGGAAUAUAGUGAAGGUACAUGGAUAUUUAGUAAAUGAAUGAACAAGUAGGAAAAACCUGAACAUUGUCAUUCUGCCUAAUACACAUUGAACAUUGAAGGAGUACAGGACUCCUCCUUAAUGAGUAGGAGGUACAGAGGAUGAUAAAGUAAGCUCUUUAGGAUUAUCCCAGUUUGAGACUUUUAAACAGCACAUACAUGCAUGAGGCUUAAAAUCUGGUCCUUGAUGCUAGGGAUUUCACUUUUGUAGGGACUUGUCUAG
rnacentral:lncRNA from 10 species